rnacentral:misc_RNA from 1 species
UGCGGCUGGAUCACCUCCUUUCUAAGGAAAGAAGAAGGAAUGAAGUAGGGAGUUGUAUUACUGUUUAGAUGCCGAGGGGCAUCAAGAAAUUUCCGGUGGCGAUGCGCCCAUGGGAAACACCCGUUCCCAUCCCGAACACGACGGUUAAGACGUGGGCGGCCGAAAGUACUAUACUGGUAACGGUAUGGGAGGAUAGGUGGCUGCCGGUUAAUAAAAAAGAAGCUAAGUAGUAAGGGCUUAUAGCUCAGCCGGUUAGAGCGCACGCCUGAUAAGCGUGAGGUCGGUGGUUCGAGUCCACUUAAGCCCACUAAUAAAAAACUACUUAAGCCCAAAUGGGGGUGUAGCUCAGUUGGGAGAGCACCUGCCUUGCAAGCAGGGGGUCAAGAGUUCGAAUCUCUCCAUCUCCAUUCAUCUCAUUAAGAUUUUGAGAUGUGAUUGUACCUUGAAAACCGAAUACUGAUCAAAAGAUUUUAAUCUUAGAAAAACUACGAUUAAAAAUCGACAUCGAAAAUCCAAAACAAACAAGAACUAAAGAGCUUAUGGAAGUAACGCUAUACUGAAAUAAGCAAGAGAAUGGUUAUCGAAAGAUAAGACCAGUUCUAUACUAGCUGAAUAGAGGAUAGUGAAGGAGGCAUUCUUCGGAAUGCAGGUUAUCUGUCAAAUGCUUCGCAUUCGCCAGAUAAAUGACUUCGUCAUAUGUAUCCGAUAAGAAACAUAAAAACCUGUGCGAGCACAGAUUUUAGUUUCAUGACCGGAUACGCAUUCCUCAGAU